UUCCUCCUACAUAAGGAGGUAAGGCCUGCUCACUGAAUUUUGAAGAGCCGCAGUAUCCUGACUGUGCUAAGGUAGCAUAAUAAUUUGUCUCUUAAUUGGGGACUAGAAUGAAUGGUCUAACGAGAAAUUAACUUUUUUAGGAAUAAUAAUUAAACUUAAUUUUUUAGUGAAAAAGCUAAAAUAAUAUAAAAAGACGAGAAGACCCUAUAGAGUUUUAUAUAUUAACUAUUUACAUUUUAAUAGCUUUUUAGAAUUGUAAAUAAAGACUAUAUUUUGUUGGGGCGACAUUUAGAUAAAAAAAACUUUUUAUAUUAAAAACUCAGAUUUGAGUAUUUACUGAUCCUUAAAAAAGAUUAAAAGUAUAAAUUACCUUAGGGAUAACAGCGUAAUCUCCCUUGAGAGCCCAAAUCGACAGGGAGGUUUGCGACCUCGAUGUUGGACUAAAAUUAAACUAAGGUGCAGAAGUCUUAGAUUUAGGUCUGUUCGACCUAUAGAUUUUU
rnacentral:rRNA from 1 species